GGGUUGUGAGGUUAAGCGACUAAGCGUACACGGUGGAUGCCCUGGCAGUCAGAGGCGAUGAAGGACGUGCUAAUCUGCGAUAAGCGUCGGUGAGGUGAUAUGAACCGUUAUAACCGGCGAUUUCCGAAUGGGGAAACCCAGUGUGUUUCGACACACUAUCAUUAACUGAAUCCAUAGGUUAAUGAGGCGAACCGGGGGAACUGAAACAUCUAAGUACCCCGAGGAAAAGAAAUCAACCGAGAUUCCCCCAGUAGCGGCGAGCGAACGGGGAGGAGCCCAGAGCCUGAAUCAGUGUGUGUGUUAGUGGAAGCGUCUGGAAAGGCGCGCGAUACAGGGUGACAGCCCCGUACACAAAAAUGCACAUAUUGUGAGCUCGAUGAGUAGGGCGGGACACGUGGUAUCCUGUCUGAAUAUGGGGGGACCAUCCUCCAAGGCUAAAUACUCCUGACUGACCGAUAGUGAACCAGUACCGUGAGGGAAAGGCGAAAAGAACCCCGGCGAGGGGAGUGAAAAAGAACCUGAAACCGUGUACGUACAAGCAGUGGGAGCCUCUUAAUGGGGUGACUGCGUACCUUUUGUAUAAUGGGUCAGCGACUUAUAUUCUGUAGCAAGGUUAACCGAAUAGGGGAGCCGAAGGGAAACCGAGUCUUAACUGGGCGUUAAGUUGCAGGGUAUAGACCCGAAACCCGGUGAUCUAGCCAUGGGCAGGUUGAAGGUUGGGUAACACUAACUGGAGGACCGAACCGACUAAUGUUGAAAAAUUAGCGGAUGACUUGUGGCUGGGGGUGAAAGGCCAAUCAAACCGGGAGAUAGCUGGUUCUCCCCGAAAGCUAUUUAGGUAGCGCCUCGUGAAUUCAUCUCCGGGGGUAGAGCACUGUUUCGGCAAGGGGGUCAUCCCGACUUACCAACCCGAUGCAAACUGCGAAUACCGGAGAAUGUUAUCACGGGAGACACACGGCGGGUGCUAACGUCCGUCGUGAAGAGGGAAACAACCCAGACCGCCAGCUAAGGUCCCAAAGUCAUGGUUAAGUGGGAAACGAUGUGGGAAGGCCCAGACAGCC
rnacentral:rRNA from 1 species